AACUGCGGACGGCUCAUUAUAACAGUAAUAGUUUCUUUGGUUAGUAAAAUACAAGGAUAGCUUUGUGAAUGAUAAAGAUAAUACUUGAGACGAUCCAGUUUGUAUUAGUACAAAAUGGCCAAUUCAUUCAAUGAAUUGAGAAAUGACAUUCUAAGUGAGUUAGGAUGCCACGACAAUUGUAGAACACACAGUGUUUAACAAGUAACCAAUGAGAAUUUCUGAUCUAUCAAUCAGUUGGUAGUAUCGAGGACUACCAAGAUUAUAACGGAUAACGAGGAAUUGGGGUUCGACAUCGGAGAGGGAGCUUUACAGAUGGCUACCACUUCUAAGGAAGGCAGCAGGCGCGUAAAUUACC
rnacentral:rRNA from 1 species